rnacentral:rRNA from 3 species
GCCUGUUUAUCAAAAACAUAGCCUAUAACUUAACUUUAGGUACAACCCUGCCCUCUGAAAUUUUAACAGCCGCGGUAUCCUAACCGUGCUAAGGUAGCAUAAUCAUUUGCCUAUUAAUUAUAGGCUAGCAUGAACGGGAUCACUCACUUAAAUUUAUUUUCACUACAAUUAAAAUUAAACUUUAAGUUAAAAUACUAAAUUUUUAAGAAAGACAAAAAGACCCUGAAAACUAUUAGAAGAUAAUUAGUUGGGGCAACUAUAGACCAUAAACAGCGUCUAUUAAAAUUCGAAUUUUAAAAUUCAAAGCACACAGUUACUUCAGGGAUAACAGACUAAUUGUAUUAUUUAGACCUAAUAAAUAAUAAAGAUUGGCACCUCGAUGUUGGCUUAUAAUUCCUUCAUAUAGUAACAUAUAUUGAUGGCAGCUUGUUCAUCUGAUAAAUAUUUACAUGAGCUGAGUUCAGACCGGCGUAAGC